CAGUAGUCCUCGUGUAUAGAGGAUUGGCAUCCAAAUAUAUACCGCAUGACCUGAAGACCCUGACAAAGCUUUUACACUAUCUGUCAUCUCAUUUCUUGACAAUCUUUUUAACAGUUUAGCAUGUAUUUUAAGGUACAUAUAAAGUAUAGAUUCACCAUUUUUUUUAAAAAAAAUUCGUGUUCAGUAUAAAAAUUUAAGUAUUAAACUUUUAUUAUAAGGAAAAAAGUUUUAUAAUAAUUUAUCAAACUAUAUUCGAUAAGAGUCUUAAAAUGCCUAGCCCCCAUCCCCAAUGUAAACAAUUGAGGGGACGGAGGGAGUAAUACAAUAUUACAAGUUUACAACAUACCCUGCAUAGAGAAUGGUGUUAUUAAAGCUGUUUCUCUGUGUCUUUAGAAACUUUAAAUUGUCUUCAUGUUUCUUGAUUGUUAGACCUUCCUUUGUCAAAGCAUCUUGUAAUUUCUGCAAUAUUGAACAUAACAGAGCAUUCAAUUAUCAAUAACAGACAAAAGCACACAUACAUAUACAGUGAUAGUUGAUGAUAGCAUAUUGAACUCAGAUGUUCGUCUGUUACCUUGGAAGCAUCAUCAACUGCUUGUGCCCGCUAGACUGUCCAAAUUUCCAGUUUACGCUUUCCAGAAAUAUCACACCGAUCUUGGUCCACUAGUGCUAAUGGAAAUGAAUCCUGGGCAGCUGAGGCAUUUAUCUGCUUUUAAAAAAUGAUCGAGUAUCUAGUCAAUAUCUAAUUAGAAGAUGCGAUAUUAGGGUAUAUGGAAGCCUCAGCAAAUUCCGAACCGGAAGACUGCAGAAUUUUACAGACAGACC
rnacentral:lncRNA from 1 species